rnacentral:miRNA from 1 species
GUGUUUUUAAUAUUCUGUUGGGAGCUGUCCAAAGCAGCAGGGGAAACCCAGCCAGAUGUACGGGGUAUAAAUAAUAAUAAUAAUAAUAAUAAUAAUAAUAAUAAUAAUAAUAAUUUAUUAUUUAUGCCCUGCCCAUCUGGCUGAGUUUCCCCAGCCACUCUGGGCAGCUCCUAUUCGAAUGUUAAAAACA